rnacentral:rRNA from 1 species
AGCAGGCGCGAAAACUUUACAAUGCGGGAAACCGUGAUAAGGGAACUCCGAGUGUCCGUAAAUGCGGACUGUCCGUAUGUCUAAAAAGCAUGCGAAGAAAGGGCCGGGCAAGACCGGUGCCAGCCGCCGCGGUAAUACCGGCGGCUCGAGUGGUGGCCACUAUUACUGGGCUUAAAGCGUUCGUAGCUGGGUCGUUAAGUCUCUUGGGAAAUCUACCGGCUUAACCGAUAGGCGUCCAAGGGAUACUGGCGAUCUAGGGACCGGGAGAGGUGAGGGGUACUUCAGGGGUAGGAGUGAAAUCCUGUAAUCCUUGGGGGACCACCUGUGGCGAAGGCGCCUCACCAGAACGGCUCCGACAGUGAGGGACGAAAGCUGGGGGAGCAAACCGGAUUAGAUACCCGGGUAGUCCCAGCCGUAAACGAUGCGCGUUAGGUGUAUCGAUGACCACGAGUCAUCGAGGUGCCGAAGGGAAACCGUGAAACGCGCCGCCUGGGAAGUACGGUCGCAAGGCUGAAACUUAAAGGAAUUGGCGGGGGAGCACCACAACAGGUGGAGCCUGCGGUUUAAUCGGACUCAACGCCGGAAAUCUCACCGGAUNANACAGCUGAAUGAUAGUCGGGCUGANNACUCUACUUGACUAGCUGAGAGGAGGUGCAUGGCCAAUCACUA